AGAGUUUGAUCCUGGCUCAGGAUGAACGCUGGCGGCGUGCUUAACACAUGCAAGUCGAACGGGAAUUACUUUAUUGAAACUUCGGUCGAUUUAAUUUAAUUCUAGUGGCGGACGGGUGAGUAACGCGUGGGUAACCUGCCUUAUACAGGGGGAUAACAGUCAGAAAUGGCUGCUAAUACCGCAUAAGCGCACAAAGCUGCAUGGCUCAGUGUGAAAAACUCCGGUGGUAUAAGAUGGACCCGCGUUGGAUUAGCUGGUUGGCGGGGUAACGGCUCACCAAGGCGACGAUCCAUAGCCGGCCUGAGAGGGUGAACGGCCACAUUGGGACUGAGACACGGCCCAGACUCCUACGGGAGGCAGCAGUGGGGAAUAUUGCACAAUGGGGGAAACCCUGAUGCAGCGACGCCGCGUGAAGGAAGAAGUAUCUCGGUAUGUAAACUUCUAUCAGCAGGGAAGAUAGUGACGGUACCUGACUAAGAAGCCCCGGCUAACUACGUGCCAGCAGCCGCGGUAAUACGUAGGGGGCAAGCGUUAUCCGGAUUUACUGGGUGUAAAGGGAGCGUAGACGGUGUGGCAAGUCUGAUGUGAAAGGCAUGGGCUCAACCUGUGGACUGCAUUGGAAACUGUCAUACUUGAGUGCCGGAGGGGUAAGCGGAAUUCCUAGUGUAGCGGUGAAAUGCGUAGAUAUCGGGAGGAACACCAGUGGCGAAGGCGGCCUACUGGGCACCAACUGACGCUGAGGCUCGAAAGUGUGGGUAGCAAACAGGAUUAGAUACCCUGGUAGUCCACACCGUAAACGAUGAUUACUAGGUGUUGGAGGAUUGACCCCUUCAGUGCCGCAGUUAACACAAUAAGUAAUCCACCUGGGGAGUACGACCGCAAGGUUGAAACUCAAAGGAAUUGACGGGGGCCCGCACAAGCAGUGAGUAUGUGGUUUAAUUCGACGCAACGCGAAGAACCUUACCAAGUCUUGACAUCCUGCGACGAUGCUGGAAACAGUAUUUUCCUUCGGGACGCAGAGACAGGUGGUGCAUGGUUGUCGUCAGCUCGUGUCGUGAGAUGUUGGGUUAAGUCCCGCAACGAGCGCAACCCUUAUGGUCAGUUACUACGCAAGAGGACUCUGGCCAGACUGCCGUUGACAAAACGGAGGAAGGUGGGGAUGACGUCAAAUCAUCAUGCCCUUUAUGACUUGGGCUACACACGUACUACAAUGGCGUUAAACAAAGAGAAGCAAGACCGCGAGGUGGAGCAAAACUCAGAAACAACGUCCCAGUUCGGACUGCAGGCUGCAACUCGCCUGCACGAAGUCGGAAUUGCUAGUAAUCGUGGAUCAGCAUGCCACGGUGAAUACGUUCCCGGGCCUUGUACACACCGCCCGUCACACCAUGAGAGCCGGGGGGACCCGAAGUCGGUAGUCUAACCGCAAGGAGGACGCCGCCGAAGGUAAAACUGGUGAUUGGGGUGAAGUCGUAACAAGGUA
rnacentral:rRNA from 1 species